UACGGAGGGGGGCUAGCGUUGUUCGGAAUUACUGGGCGUAAAGCGCACGUAGGCGGCUUUGUAAGUUAGAGGUGAAAGCCCAGGGCUCAACCCUGGAAUUGCCUUUAAGACUGCAUCGCUUGAAUCAUGGAGAGGUGAGUGGAAUUCCGAGUGUAGAGGUGAAAUUCGUAGAUAUUCGGAAGAACACCAGUGGCGAAGGCGACUCACUGGACAUGUAUUGACGCUGAGGUGCGAAAGCGUGGGGGAGCAAACAGG
rnacentral:rRNA from 1 species